GUCUCAGUUCGGAUCGCAGGCUGCAACUCGCCUGCGUGAAGCCGGAAUUGCUAGUAAUCGCGGAUCAGCAUGCCGCGGUGAAUACGUUCCCGGGCCUUGUACACACCGCCCGUCACACCAUGAGAGCCGGGGGGACCCGAAGUCCGUAGCCUAACCGCAAGGAGGGCGCGGCCGAAGGUAAAACUGGUGAUUGGGGUGAAGUCGUAACAAGGUACC
rnacentral:rRNA from 1 species